rnacentral:rRNA from 1 species
GUGCAAAGGUAGCAUAAUCAUUAGUCUUUUAAUUGAAGGCUGGAAUGAACGGUUGGACGAGGUAUAAGCUGUUUCAUAUAAAUUUAUAAUAGAAUUUUAUUUUUUAGUCAAAAAGCUAAAAUUUAAUUAAAAGACGAGAAGACCCUAUAAAUCUUUAUAAUUUUUGUUACUUAAAUUUUUUAGAUUAAUUUUGUUUUUGUAGUAAAAAUUAUUUUGUUGGGGUGAUAUUAAAAUUUAAUAAACUUUUAAUUUAUAUUAAUCAUUAAUUUAUGAUUUGUUGAUCCGUUAAUAACGAUUAUAAGAUUAAGUUACUUUAGGGAUAACAGCG